rnacentral:rRNA from 1 species
UCCUACGGGGGGCAGCAGUGGGGAAUAUUGCGCAAUGGGGGAAACCCUGACGCAGCAACGCCGCGUGAGUGAAGACGUAUCUCGGUAUGUAAAGCUCUAUCAGCGGGGAAGAAGGAAGACGGUACCCGACUAAGAAGCCCCGGCUAACUACGUGCCAGCAGCCGCGGUAAUACGUAGGGGGCGAGCGUUAUCCGGAUUUACUGGGUGUAAAGGGGGCGCAGACGGCAGCGCAAGCCAGGAGUGAAAGCCCGGGGCCCAACCCCGGGACUGCUCUUGGAACUGCGCGGCUGGAGGGCAGGAGGGGG